UUCUCCAAAGGAGGCACUGUGGAAUCCAUAUUUUCAUCAUUAUUAUUCGCGAGAGUGGAGAGGAGGGUGUUGAGGUUCGUUUGAUAUACACUAUUACUUGUGAAGUCACAGAAGUUGCCUAGGAAGUUAGGCAAGUUAGGCUGGGGCUGGGCAAUGGUGAGACCAACAAGGUUUAUGAGAAAAAGGAAGAGGAGGUGUCUCCAAGAACCCAUUUUCAUUACACAAUGUUUGCCUUCGGUCGAAAUCAAGGUUGAUAAGUGCAAUGUUUGCUUCGGUUCUCUCAAGUAUUUAAGAUAGCUUGUGGCCUUGGAAAAUCUACUAGGAACAGUCAACAAUAUUGAAUUUUGAAAAUUUGCAGGAAAUGACAAGGAAGCGACAUUAAUAUUGUAAAAUAACUAAAGGAAAUGUUUUUAUAGCCAUCGUCUCCAUAGUUUUCCUACCUUGUCAAUUCAGUCCCCAUAGUUUAAAAUUUAAUCUCUCCAUCUUAAAUUUUUUAACCUGUGACGAUUUAGUCUAAACUAUAUCCGCCUUCUUCCUUGAAGUUUAAUUCAAAGAUGCAUAGCCUAUGCCUAUAUCGGCUACAAUAGCCGAAUGAGGAACAAAAUUUCGAUGUUGAAAGUUUAAUUUAUUAAAUUUUUUAUCUUCGAUAAACCGUCACAGAGAAGAUUGGAUUAAUUAUAGCUAUAUUAGCUGCGAAUAGGGUGGAUAAGCUUUAUUAGUCCGUUGAAUUAGAAAUUUUUUGUUUGAAAACUUCGCUGAAAACAUAAUCUCUAAACUGAUUGGUUUUUUUUUUUUUGAAUUCUUGUAUGAUAAAUUAAAAUAUGUCAACAUCGGGGGAAGCCUAAUAAAGGUAAACUAAAAUCUUCAAAAACACACAAGUAAAUGAUGGUUUCUAAUACGCACCACAUAAACAUUAUUCGCUUGACUUGCCAGUUUUGAACGUGGAAAUAUAUGGUUUAGAGGGGACUUGGAAAUAUAUUGAAAGUUUGAAUGAUGGGUUAAUGCAUCAGUUUGUUUUCCCUUACCGAUGAUCCAUCGACUCAUUCAAACUCUCUCUCUCUCUCUCUCUCUAAUUUGCUGAGCGCUAUUAUAAAUUUGUCUGUCGUUAAUUUCACGUCUCAUAGAUUAGGCUCUCUUGAAGUCAAUUGGAUAGAGCGAGAAUACUGAACUCUAAAAAAAACUCUCUAUCUCUCUCAAACACAAUAUUUUAGCUUAUGUGAAAUUACAUAGGAAUCUAUUUUACAAUAGGCUAGUGAUUUUACACUCUUAUUUUCUCUAGUUAAACUCCUUUCUCUGUCUGUAUUUGAGUGAAUUUACCCAAAUAUCUUUCCACGUAAUGAAAACAUUCGAAUAUAUGAAGGUAUUUGAGUAAAUUCAACUUAAUAAAGAUAAAAAAUAGAGCAUGCGCAAUUAAAAAAAAAAAGAAGCAUGAAAAUCAUUAGUCUUUACAAUAUUCAAUUUCUCUCUUUCACGAACAAUUUUCUGUAAUCUCUUUCACAUGCACAAUAUUCUAUCUUCAUUAGUCUUUACAAUAUUCAAUUUCUCUCUUUCACAAACAAUUUUAUGUAAUCGCUUUCACACGCACAAUAUUUUAUCUUCUAUUAAAUUAACAAUGAGUCUAUUUUAAAUAAAAUUAUCAAUUUUUUAUCUCGUAAUAGUUGACAUGGCUAAUAUGAAGAGAUCAGAUUAUAUACGCAUGCAGAGUAAACCACUACUCCAAUCAUUUUACUGACAUAUCAGAAUUUGUUGCGAACUCUUUGAUUCACCUACUUAACUCAUACUCUUUCCUUGGACACUAUCUUUAAACUAAAUUUUUUUUUCUCCUCAAAGUUAUUUAAUUUUCUUAUAAAAAUAAUAGUUAUGUAUAAUUGUAUUGUUGUUGAUAGAGAAUGGGAAUGGUCCAAACAAACAGGUGGGUGGAAGCUCAUUUCCUUCAUUCCCGUGUAGGUCCUGUGAAGGCCCUUUAACGUGUUCACAUGAACUUGUCCAUCUUUCACUUCCCAAAGCCUAACCUUGCUCCAAUUAACACCUGCCACGGUGCCCCGAUCCCUGCCCAACUUUUUUGGAGGACCAAGAAAAAAUCUUGAAAGAGACAUUUUCAUAUGUGAUAUUAAUUUUUUAAAUAUUAUUUUAUUUUUAAUAUUUUAUUUAUUUAUUUUGUUUUUUCUUUGUGAUCCAAAAUUAUUAAUUAAGUUGUUGUAAUUCAUCCUUUUUAACAUAUCAUUUUCAAUUGAUAAUUCGGCUGAUUCACUAAUAUUGAUGAAACAAUACAAAUUUUGUGACCCAACUAGACCUACUUUUUUAAAGUCUAUUGAUGAAACACCACAAAUUUUCUCUCUCUCCUCUCUCUCUCUCUCCACCUCCUCUCUUCUCUCUCUUUCUAACCAUCAUUGGCCACCCGCUAAUCUCUUUCAACCCCUAACUAUCACCCACCAUCUCUAUCAACUAAUAUAUAUAUAUACUAGUAUUGCCCGUGCCCACGGCACUAGUAAUAACAAAAAAUAAGAUAUCUUUCAUUAUUGUGAUUAUUCUUCGUCGCAAAAGAAUAAAUAAAAAAUAUUCAUAUCACAAUAAAGAUAGCGCUCACAUACUUUUUCAGAAAACUAAAUACUCUAAUCUAAAAUUGACAUCAACAGAGCUGUUUUUGUUCUACUCCUAUAAUUCCAUCCACCCCCCCUCGAUGUGAACUUUUUUUUUGACUUCACUUUUAAUCCUCAAUUUUUUUCUCAAUUAUAAUUUGUUGCCAUUCAACCUUUUUUUUCGUUUUUUUAUACUCUUUAUUCUUUUUUAUAAACCCUUGAUUCUUUGUUUAUUUCUUUUUUAACUUUCACUUUUAAAUUUUUAUCUAAGAAAAAUUAUGAUAAAAUUUUUAUAUUUUUUUUCCACUUCCUACUUAUGUGUUUUUUAAUUACAAAAAUAUAAAUCAAAAUUUUUAUAUUUGUUUAAAAAUUUCGAAUUGGGUUUAUAGUUUAUAUUUAAUUUGUUAUUUGAGACUAUUCGUUGAAAAUAAUUAAUGUAUUUUUUAGUAGUUUGAUUUAUCAUAAAAUACAUACAUAAAUAAAUUUUUAACGUAUCAAUACAUAUUAAAUUCAACAUUACAUAAGAACAUAACUUGAACCAAUAUCUCCUUCCAAAAAAAUUAUAUAUAUUUUUUUGUAAGUCCUUUUUAUAUAAAAAUUUAAAAGUGAAAGUAAAAAAAAAAAGACUCAGGCGUACUACAAAAAAACCCCAAUAACACAGAUAUAUAACUAUCAACCCACGAAAUUUAAAAAAAAAUAAUUAAAAAAAAAUUAAAAAUCUUGAUUCAUAUUUUUUUUUAUAAAACAUAAGUCGGAGUAAAAGAAAUAUAAAAUUUUUAAUCAUAAUCUUUUUAAUAUACAAAAUUCCGAAGUGAACGUAAAAAAAAGAAUUAAGGGGCAUUAAAAGAAAAAAACAUACGGGGUUUAUAAAUUUUAUUAAAAAUUAUAUAAAAAUUCAAGUAAAAAAGAAUAAAGGGGUCUUACACCACCAGUAUACCAGGGUUACUGUCCGAGUGCUGAGAGUCGAUCGAGUGAGAGUUAAUAUGGAGAGAAACAUCCACCGUGAUACGUGAGAGAGAGUGAAAAGUGAUAUGUUUUAGUAGAACAAGAAAUAAUUUGACUAAUUGACUACCUUUAUUUUUAUUUUAAGUUAAUUUUUUUUUCUGCUUUAUUUUUAAAUUUUAUGUCUUUAGUGAUUUUUGACAAUUAAUCAAUAUUUUAUACCUUUUCGCUUUCUCUUAAUCAAAAAGGAAUAUAAAAAAUAUAAAAAAUUAACGGAAUUAUGAGAAGUUCAAUAAAAAAAAAUCAAUAAUUUAUUUUAUAUUCAAAUUAAAUUUUUUUAUAUUUAGGCUCUUAUGUCAAAAUAAUUAAAAAUCUAAAUUUUUGAUUAAAUAAUAAAUAAAAAAUUAAAAAUGUGAGAAAAAAAGGUGUGUAGGUCCACUAAAGAGAGUGAGAGUUAUGAUGGAGAGAGAAAGUGAGAGUGAUGGGAGGAUAGAGAGAGUGAAAGAAAAUGAUGUUUUUGGGCGGAGAAAAAAAAUAGGAGUGCAAUCUUAGGUUGGAUCAAUUCAAUGAAUUUGAGCCGUAGAUAGGAGAGAUAGAUUUUAAUCAAGCUAAGUCCUGAUUUAUAAUAUAGAUUAUAUGCACACACAACACACAGCACACAUGCACACAAAUAGAUAUACACACACCCAGCAAAAUAUACACAAACAUAUAUGCUCAAAACACAACACACAUGCACACAAAUAGAUAUACACGUAUUAUACAUUAUACAUAUAUAUAUAUAUAUAUAUAUAUAUAUAUAGAGAGAGGAGAGAGAGAGAGAGAGAGGGAUUUGGGGGCUGAUUUUUUUUUUCUUUUAUCAAUGAUUUAGAAUUUUGAUCAAUUGUUACUUUUAGGUUUGAUUUGGAGAUUGAUCUGGUUUUUGAUUUUGGGUUUGAUUUGGAAACUGGGUUAGAUUUGAUUUGGGAUUUGAUUUGGGUUGUUGAUUUAGAGAUUGCUUGGAAGUGAGUUUGAUUUUUUGCUUUGAUUUGGAGUGUUAGUUUGUUAACAUGUACAUAUGUGUGUUUGUGAUUGUAGAUGGAGAGAGACAGAGAGAGAGAGGGGUGGAGGAUUGUGUUAAUAGUGGAUGAGAGAGUGAGGGAGAGAGGAAGAGCAAACAUGUAAAGUACGAACGCAACAUAAUGGUAGACCAAACAGAGCCAACCUCUUCAGUUGAUACCAUAACCAGUUUCUAUCAUUCACCCAAUGUCCCUGUAUAUUAGGGUUUUCGAAAUUUGAAAAAAAAAAAAAACUUAAAGGAUAUAUUAUAGACCAUAAAUGUCCACAAUGCAGAAAUAAAAAAAUAAAAUCCAAAUUUACUAACCAUGAUAGAAACACAACUUCAGAAACCUUAAUUAGGGUUUUCCCAAAAUCAAACUAUACCACAAUCAAAACCCUAUACUGGCCUGAAUAUAGUCGCGCAGUAUCCUUGAAUAUACGUUG
rnacentral:lncRNA from 1 species